ACUCUCUUAGUAUAACUAAUAUAACUGACUUCCAAUUAGUAGAUUCUGAAAAUAUCCAGAAGGGAGUA
rnacentral:tRNA from 1 species